CGCGUAGGAAUUUACCCAAUCGUGGGGAACAACUUGGGGAAACUCAAGCUAAUACCGCAUAAGCCCUACGGGGGAAAGCAGGGGCUCUUCGGACCUUGCGCGAUUGGAUGAGCCUGCGUGAGAUUAGCUAGUUGGUAGGGUAAAAGCCUACCAAGGCGACGAUCUCUAGCUGGUUUGAGAGAACGACCAGCCACACUGGGACUGAGACACGGCCCAGACUCCUACGGGAGGCAGCAGUGGGGAAUAUUGGACAAUGGGCGCAAGCCUGAUCCAGCAAUGCCGCGUGUGUGAAGAAGGCCCGAGGGUUGUAAAGCACUUUCAGUAGGGAGGAAAUGUUGAGGGCUAAUACCGCUCAAAUAUGACGUAACCUACAGAAGAAGCACCGGCUAACUCCGUGCCAGCCCGCCGCGG
rnacentral:rRNA from 1 species